rnacentral:rRNA from 1 species
AGUGAACGCUGGCGGUAGGCCUAACACAUGCAAGUCGAACGGCAGCACAGUAAGAGCUUGCUCUUACGGGUGGCGAGUGGCGGACGGGUGAGGAAUACAUCGGAAUCUACUUUUUCGUGGGGGAUAACGUAGGGAAACUUACGCUAAUACCGCAUACGACCUACGGGUGAAAGCAGGGGAUCUUCGGACCUUGCGCGAUUGAAUGAGCCGAUGUCGGAUUAGCUAGUUGGCGGGGUAAAGGCCCACCAAGGCGACGAUCCGUAGCUGGUCUGAGAGGAUGAUAAGCCACACUGGAACUGAGAAAAGGUCCAGACUCCUACGGGAGGCAGCAGUGGGGAAUAUUGGCCAAUGGGCGCAAGCCUGAUCCAGCCAUACCGCGUGGGUGAAGAAGGCCUUCGGGUUGUAAAGCCCUUUUGUUGGGAAAGAAAAGCAGCAGGUUAAUACCCCGCUGUUCUGACGGUACCCAAAGAAUAAGCACCGGCUAACUUCGUG